ensembl:lincRNA
AGACAGCGAAGGCGGCUGGCAAUCAUUAACUAAUGCUUUCUCCCAGGGAGAAAAAUGCUGGCUUUAAGGAGGCCCGGACGUCAGAAUUGCAAUAGAAGAUAAGAGUCUCAUGUGAUCCAGGCUGAUCUCUCUGUAACUUCCAAUGCUCUUCCCUCUAUUUCCCAAACUCUGGGGUCAUGGGCACGCAUCCUUGCAUCCUUAUACCUGACUAGUGUCUCAUCUUAGCUGCCAUUGCUGGAUUAUUGAGGGAAUGAAAGAGGAUGAAAGGAAGAUUCUAGUGAAAAGAGAGUAUGCCAUGGAAAUGUGAUCCAAUAUUUUGUAUUCCUUCAGUGAGUUGAAGCAUAAAAAAAACCAAAAACAAAAACAACAACAGAAAAUCUAGAAAGCCAAAGCCUGGCGUGAAGGAAAUAGAGGCCAGAGAGGACCAGGAGUCUUCCAGGCCUGGUGGAGAACAGCUUUAAUCAAGCACUCACAAGGCAGGGGCAUGUAGACCUCUGUGAUCUCAAGACCGUCUGGUCUGUGUAGCUAAUUCCAGCUCAGCCAGGGCCACACAGAGAGACCCUGUCUUCAAAACAAAGCAAAACAAAAACCAUGACAAAGGAAAACAAAAAUCCCCACAAACACCAACAAAAAGAGGGUCGGGAAUUUAGUGCCAGCUUCAAGUCAGUUUUAGGCUAGCCUGGGCUACCUGAAACCAGGCGUCGACAAAACAAAACAACCCAUCUGUUAAUCCCAAUAACAAGCUAUCUGUGACAAAGGUAGACUCAGAAGCUUGUCAUUCGGAGGAGCGCUGUGUAUCCAUCCAGGUAUGACUGAACUCCAUCCACAUGCAGGGUGUGGGUACCUCGUACGUCAGCCUCACAUCCCCCAGUGCAUCACCGUCUUGUAUACAACAGUUUGCUGUUUCGCUUGGCCUCAGACCUGGACUCCUUAAUGAGCCCACAAUAAGAACAGCUGCAGUUUUCUUGUUGUGGUCUUUACAGGAGGGUUGAGUGCUGAGACGGAGUGCUUAGGUCCCCGGAGUGUGGACAAGUGUCCACACUUAGUCUCUACCUGACUUCCGUGUCUUCUACUCUGUCACCACUGGUCACAGUAAGAGCCCAAAGCACCUCACUGACAGAGGCUUCUUUUUGUUGUUGAUAACCAUCUCCGUGCAGUCCUGGCUGUACUGAAACUCACACCGUAGACCAGGCUGGCCUCGAACUCACAGAGCUCUGCCUGCUCUGCCUCCUGAGUGCUGGGAUUAAAGGCUUGUGAGCUACCACGGCUCAGCAGAGGGUUCUAUCUAUAGUUGCUUCACUCAGCCUGCUUGGGCAGAAGAACAUCAUUGCAGAAGGGAGCCACUCACCGUGUGGCCAACCAGGAAGCAGGAGAAAGGAGGCAGCCAUCUUAGGUGAUUAAGAAUCAUCAAGGGCUAAGAGGCGGCUCGGUGGUGUAGAGCACUUGUUGCUCUUUGCAGAGACCCGGAUUUGAUACCCAGCACAUGCGUGCCGGCUCACAAACACCCAUAAUUCCAGUUCCAGAGGACCUGAUGCCUUCUUCUGACUUCUGUGGGUACCAGGUACAUGAUGCACAUACAUAUAUAUUCAUGAAAAGCAUCCGUGCACAUCAAUAAAUAGACUAAAAACAAAAAUCUCACCAAUGACGAAUUGAUAGUGGUGGACGGUCAUAUAUAUGAACCUGCGGCCGGGCCUGUGCACACGCCUCUGGGUGGCCCUGCAGUGCGCGGGUCUGAAGUUCAGGUUUGAAUAGCUUCAUGGCAGAUCUCUUCUAGGCACUCAAUGUGUAUCUUAGGGUUAUUCUCAAGGGCUGGGGCUGGAGCUUGAUGAGAGAGUCAUGGCCUAGUUUGUGCAAAGCACUGCGUUCAUUCCUGAGACACGUCCUCCCAAAAUCUGGGGUUCAAACAACUUAAAGGUACUUGCGGUAAGCUCACCUGGACAUCAUAUAUGGGAUAAUUGUCCGUUAUAAAUUUCAAACAGUAAAAAAAAGUCUCUUCCGGGAUUGCAGGACUCAAUCCCGGGAAGACUCCUACCUCCAGACUAACACUUGAAAGAUAAAGAAUGAGGGAGCUACAACCUCUUGCAGAAUUCUGCCCAGCACUGACAGCCUCAACGCCCACCCUCUGCUUCUCAGGAUGACCCUGGGAGCGCCUGAGUUUUCCUUUGCUCAGUGAGGGAACCCCUGGGUUUCAGAGUAUCUCCUGCUGGCACACUGGGGAAGACUUUUAAAGCUGUAUUUAAAAAACCAAACCAAACCAAACCAAACCAAACCAAACCAAACUAAAACAAAAAGAAAAACAAACCAUUCAUCUGAUCCAUGGCGCUGUUGCCUGGCUAGGGCAAGCCUGCGUGCGGGGGCGGGGCGGGGCGGGGCGGGGCGGGGCGGGGCGGGGUGGAGUGAGGGGGAAUCAGAGGAGGUCAGACCUUCAGUUUCUCAAUCCAAGAGUGUGGAAUGAUUCUUGUUUCAGUUUUACCUAGUGUAGCUCACUGUUUGCAAGUCAGGGAACCGGCCCCAGGCUCUGGGCCCAGAUUGAAAGCCUUGCUCCUUUCCGAAAUGC